CGGGGCGCAAAGAUGGCGUCCUCGCGGCGAGGUGAGGGGCUGGGUGUGGGGUCGCGGAGGCCUAGGGGCGUCUCGGAGGUCGCCCCGGGAGAGGGGUUCGGUUGGUUCGGUUCCUCCUGGUGCGGGGAAGGCCGAGCUGCGGGCGCAGCUCGCCGGGGUCGUUAACCGGUAGACUUCAUGUGUCCACAAGGACCCUGGCCCGGAGAGCCCGUCCCGGGUCCGCGCCGCCGCUUCCCGUGGACGCGCGGGGCGGUGGAGCCACGGCGGUGCGGUCACGGCUCCCCCGAGGGGACGCUCGGCGCCCUCCGACCCAGAUGAGAACCCCUGCGGGGCCAGCGGGCCGGCAGCGAGCGGGACGGGCUCGUCCGGAGCCGGCAGGAAGGGGACACCCCGGUUUGGAGUGGGCCCUGCCUGCGGGCCCAGUGGGACCGGCUUCUGGAGCGAAGUGAAUCAUUGACAAAAAAUGCGAAGUUCUAAAAGCCACGGUUGGACUUCCCUGGUGGCGCAGUGGUUAAGAAUCCGCCUGCCAAUGUGGGGGACACGGGUUCGAGCCCUGGUCCGGGAAGAUCCCACGUGCCGUGGAGCAACUAAGCCCAUGCGCCACAACUACUGAGCCUACAUUCUAGAGCCUGUGAGCCACAACUACGGAGCCUGCGUGCCACAACUACUGAAGCCUGCGCUCCUAGAGCCCGUGCUCCGCAACAAGAGAAGCCACUGCAAUGAGAAGCCCGGGCACCGCAAUGAAGAGUAGCACCCGCUCACCGCAACUAGAGAAAGCCCGCGCACAGCAAGAAAGACCCAACACAACCUAAAUAAAUAAGUAAAUAAAUUUAUAUUACAAAAAAAAAAAGCCACGGUUAUCUUUAGUCAGAAUGAGCCUCUUUCUGUAGGUCUGAAAUCGUUAGAACAGCAUAUCUGAUUGUAGCUACCCUUCCCGUCAAUUAUUUAAAUCCUGUGGCGCUGAAGGUUUUUCAACAGCAUUUUUUCCCUGAGCCCCAUCAUGUCAAGCAUAACAAUGGGCAACUGGCAAAUAGAUCUGAAGUUCUGAAGCGAACUGUCAAGAGAAGGGUCAGAAGGGAGCAAAGUCCUGAUUACCGUGAAAUCCACCCAAAUAAUGACAGGUAUAGAGGCAGCCUAGUUUAGCUUGGGCCUGGAAAAGAAGGGGUCGGGUUUAGAGAGCACCCUUCCCAUAUCGCGAUGGAGGUUUAUUGAGGAUCCGUGCUCGGCACCCUCCGAGGCUCCCCGUGCUCAGCACGUGCUGCCUCUCCAUCACCCGUGUCCUGUGCUGACCCACGUAAGACCCCCACCGA
rnacentral:lncRNA from 1 species